ensembl:lncRNA
CCCCAAACUCCUUUCCCUUCAGCCUUUUUUUCUUUUUUUUUAUUUGCAGGCCCAAGAUGUUGAACUUCAGAUGGCAGAACAGAAAAGAGUUUUUCCUCCCCUACGCAUCUGAGCUGGGACAUGAUGGGUACCCAGGAGCUAGCCCAGCUGCAGUGGAUGGGAAGGAGAGGCAAGCAGAAGGAGCGCAAGAAAAGGCCCAGAAGUCAGCGGGGUGUUAAAAGAUUCAUUUACCACGGAAAACAUCAAGGGGCACGGAGAGCCUUUGGCUCAAGCUGGCUUAUUCUUCACUCAGUCAUCCCUUUGGACAAGCUGAAAUUUCAGUCUGCAGAAAUUGUCUUAGACUGCGCUCUGCCCUCCUGCUUUCACUCUGAAGAUCCACGAUGUCUAAUGUCAACAACAUUGCUGAGCUUUACUUUCCAUAGUUUGUGUCAUAUAGAAGAUGUACUGUUCAGUUUUAUAAAAAUACUUUUAGAUCACAUAUUCACCCUUCUUCUCCCCAACAUUGGAAAUCACUAUCCCACACACACGGAUAUGUGCGUGCUUAUUGAUUAACUUAGACUGGCAGGUGGAGUCCAGCUCCCCUUGAUCUUCCUUUCCAUAAUAAUACCAGAGACAGUUAUUGAUCACUUCCCAUGUGCCAGGUACUGUUCUAAGGGCCUUGUAUGCACUCUCAGUCCAUCCUCCUCAGUCUCAUGAAAUAGAUCCUCUGAUGAGCCCUAACUGUUGCGUGAGAAAUCAGAGGCUAAGGGAGGUAAGCAAUUUGCCAAGCCUCACAGUUAAUGUAGGGGUGGGGGGCAGAGCAAGAUGGGAAUUGAAGUCGGGUGCCUGUGGGUAUUUUAAAUCUCAGCAUCAUCACUGCACCCCCGACCCCUGGGAUGGCAGCAGGAAUAGAGAGGGUCCUCAACACAUGCUUAUCGAGUGAAUGAAUGCCUAACUCCUCCUUCCUUAGGAUUCAACACCAACUAGCGCAGAUGAUGCAUCUAUUUUGUACCAGCCACUGUGCUUUGACAUGAAGAAGCUGUUAAUGGUUCAUCUAAGAUAAUAUCCAUAAUUAGAAAUUAGAAAACAAUCAUCAUAUGGCAGAACCAAGUCUAGAAUAGACUUUUUUUUUUUUUAAAUAGAACUGCCGUGAUGAGUCAAUUGUCCUUUUUGGCUUGGAAAGGGAAUGAUAAAGAUGAAGUUGGAGAAAAGGGUUUGUUUUUUAAUAUAACGGAGGAAAACUGAAAAAGAAAAGAAAAUCAAAGAGGAUGUGUAGCAGCCCACAGGAUGUUACAGAUACAAGUCUAAAUUAAAUUCAGGUGGGGUGCCAAAGAGGAAGUCCCUGUUUCCUCUUCUGGUGGUUUAAAAUAUCCCUCCCCUUGCCAAAGCUCAUGGGGAUCCUAAAUCACACCUGAGAGUGGCCACUGGAGAGAGAACCUCAGGCAACGGUCAAGAGCUCUGGCUCUGGGAGCAGCCCCGCCGGGCUUCAGAUUUCAUCUCCGCCCACUCACAGCCUAUUUGACUUUGACGAAGGACAAUGACACCCACCCUGCGAGAUUAGGUCUAACACUAAACGUAGUUUCUUGGCAUUCAGUACAUAGUAGCUAUUAUACUUGUUAUUAAUUAUGACUACUUACUAAUAAAAUAUACAGUGACAUUUUAAAAGCA